UCACCUACAAAUUCACCCAUAAGAGUAAAGAAACCAAUUACACUUCGCUUCAUGAAGUAUUUAUUUAUUUGAUAAAUACUGAAUAUACAUAUGCAUUUCACAUUGAUCCAUCAGAAAAUAUUUUGUACCAUUCCAUAUAAGUCAUUGAUAGAACAAAUUGAAGGGAAAAUACUGAAAAUGCUAAUAAAGAUUCAUUAUUACAAAAGGAAAAGACAAAUCUUAGUAUAUAAUGGGGAAGGGUUCGGGUCCAUCCUUUAAUUUCCAUUCAGCUUGUAGAUUAUCCAAGCCGCCAAAUCACGCUUGCGCUGUCUUAAAGAAACAACUAUGACUCUAUUUUUGCUAUCUUUAAUCAAUUCUAAAGCAUAGCUAAAUUGUGUUCCAUUCAAAAGAAGUAUGUCCUUGAGAUUUAUCAAGACUUCAAUGCAAUUCGGAAUAGAGUAUUGUCCAUCGACAUAAGAUGCGGCAACUAUAUCUUGUGGUGUCUCUCUUUCAUUUUUUACCUAAUUCCAAAAUCUCAACGUAAGAAUGUAGAGACAAACGUACGUUUAGCUCAAAACUCGAACAACAUGAACUCAUGAAGUUACAUGUACAAUGAACAAAAAAAAAGACUGAAANNNNNNNNNNNNNNNNNNNNNNNNNNNNNNUUAGAUUGGCAUUAAUAUUGACAGAAUUAUUGUGCUACUAUUCUAAACUCAACACUCAUUCAAAUUUCAAACAUAUGAUGUAAAAUUUGGCCACCAACAAGAUCAACAUCUUCCAACAACACAUAUAUAUUGUAAAGUUUGUGUAAAUGU
rnacentral:lncRNA from 1 species